GUUCAAUUCGACGCUACGCGAAGAACCUCACCAGGGCUUGACAUAUAGGUAGUAGGAACUUGAAGAGGGACGACUCGUUAAGCCGGGUGCCUAUACAGGUGUUGCAUGGCUGUCGUCAGCUCGUGCCGUGAGGUGUUGGGUUAAGUCCCGCAACGAGCGCAACCAUCAUCCUUAGUUGCUACCGAGGAAUCCGAAAGGGUUUUGGCGAGCACUCUAAGGAGACUGCCCGUGAUAAACGGGAGGAAGGUGGAGAUGACGUCAAGUCCGUAUGGCCCUUAUGCCCUGGGCUACACACGUGUUACAAUGGGAUGUACAGAGCGUUGCCAAACCGCAAGGUGGAACUAAUCGCAAAAAGCAUCCCCCAGUUCAGAUUGGAGUCUGCAACCCGACUCCAUGAAGUUGGAAUCGCUAGUAACGGCGGAUCAGCUACGCCGCCGUGAAUACGUUCCCGGGCCUU
rnacentral:rRNA from 1 species